rnacentral:rRNA from 1 species
CAAUAGCGUAUAUUAAAGUUGUUGCGGUAAAAAAGCUCGUAGUUGGAUUUCUGUCGAACUGAUCGGGUCGCCUUUAUGAGGUUGUAUCUCGCUUCGGUUUGGCAUCCUCGUAGGGAACGUUGCUGCGCUUCACUGCGUGGUGCGGUAUCUACGACUUUUACUUUGAGGAAAUUAGAGUGUUCAAAGCGGGCUUACGCUUGAAUAUUUCAGCAUGGAAUAACACUAUAGGACUCCUGUCCUAUUUCGUUGGUCUCGGGACGGGAGUAAUGAUUAAGAGGAACAGUUGGGGGCAUUCGUAUUUCAUUGUCAGAGGUGAAAUUCUUGGAUUUAUGAAAGACGAACUUCUGCGAAAGCAUUUGCCAAGGAUGUUUUCAUUGA